GGUUGGUUCGGUCCCGUUUCCGGGUCGACGUACGUUCAGGCACUGAGUACGAGUUUGAUCCUGGCNCAGGACGAACGCUGGCGGCGUGCUUAACACAUGCAAGUCGAGCGGGGACAUUGGAGUGCUUGCACAAAGAUGUUCUAGCGGCGGACGGGUGAGUAACGCGUGAGCAACCUCUCCUCUACUGGGGAAUAACACAGGGAAACUUGUACUAAUACCGCAUAAGACCACGCUACCGCAUGGUAGAGGGGUCAAAGAUUUAUCGGUAGAGGGUGGGCUCGCGUCCGAUUAGGUAGUUGGUGAGGUAACGGCCCACCAAGCCGACGAUCGGUAGCCGACCUGAGAGGGUGAUCGGCCACAUUGGGACUGAGACACGGCCCAAACUCCUACGGGAGGCAGCAGUGGGGAAUAUUGGGCAAUGGGGGAAACCCUGACCCAGCAACGCCGCGUGGAGGAAGAAGGUUUUCGGAUCGUAAACUCCUGUCCUCAGGGAAGAGUAGAAGACGGUACCUGAGGAGGAAGCCCCGGCUAACUACGUG
rnacentral:rRNA from 1 species